AUUUAUCAGGAGGCUAAUGCAAAAAGCAUACCAGCUGUUGAGUUUAGUCAAACCCAGCCUCGAGAAACAGUACUUGAAAGUCAAGAAAGCAUGCAAUUUCGGUUUGAUGAAUCACAACCACAACAAUGAUAUGAUUAUUGUGGUCAUUUUGUCAUUCAGCCUUUGACUAGAACACACUCCAUAUUAGCGUAUGGAGUUGGUUUUUUGUUUUUUUUCACUUGCCAACAAGCGGACACUUGCCAAGAAGGAUGGGUUUGUUCAUGUGCCGUUGAUUUUAUGUUCAUGCUUAAUUGCCCAACACUUAUUCUUAAU